GAUGGGAAACCCAAGGCCCAGUGAAACCUGAGAAAACCUGCAGAAAUUUUGCUGGCAGAAGAGAGGAUAUGAGGAAGGAAGACAUUAUUCAUCAAAGUGUGGCCCAUUCAAGAUGGACUCUCUUUUCUGUAUGUAAACAGAACAGGCCUCUAUCUAUGAGGCUGCUCAUGUAAGGUCCAUUUUCCAGUUGGUUCUGUAUAGAAAAGACUUCCUCUUCUUCUGAUUCUUCCACUCCUCCCAAUCCAAGAAGAUUUUGGGAAUCACAGCAAAUUGCUGAACCGAAGUGGCCUUAGGGAGGCAAGCAACUGUGACAAGCUCUGAAGAAGCCUGCCGGGGCAUGAAGAUGUAAGCUAUUUCUGCCUGUCAGGGGCUGGGCUAUUCCCAUCGUGCAUUGUCUCUGA